CUUCUCUUCGCCAAACCCGCAGGAAGCCAGAGUGCAGGAGCCCGGCCAUGGCAAGCUGGGCAGGACAAGGAGAGCUGGAUCCCAGAUAACUCUCUCCGUGGCCCUGACACAGUGACCACACAUGGACAUCGAUAUGAAGACAGCUAGAACCCCAGAUGGCCUCCACUGUCUCAAGGCUAAGAAGGAAAUGGAUACCAGUGGCCACAGCGUGUCGGUCUAGGAGUCUCAGACUUAAGGAUACUCUGGCAGACUUGUCACCACACAGAGAGCUGGUGUCACCACCCAGAGUUUCUGCUCCGCCCCCCAUUUCCCAGCUGAGGACACCCGGCUCAGCGCGGCAGAGGACCCGUCCACACGCGGAGCCGCCACGCACGGGGCAGGCGCGGAACCUCGGUCCUCUGGCUCCAGCUGGCACUUGAAGAGAGGCAAGUGACACAGACACUGGUUAGCAGGUUAAGACGCGCUGGUCAUUCUACA